rnacentral:rRNA from 1 species
GACGAACGCUGGCGGCGUGCCUAAUACAUGCAAGUCGAGCGAAGUUUUUCUGGUGCUUGCACUAGAAAAACUUAGCGGCGAACGGGUGAGUAACACGUAAAGAACCUGCCUCAUAGACUGGGACAACUAUUGGAAACGAUAGCUAAUACCGGAUAACAGCAUUAACUGCAUGGUUGAUGUUUAAAAGUUGGUUAUGCUAACACUAUGAGAUGGCUUUGCGGUGCAUUAGCUAGUUGGUGGGGUAAAGGCCUACCAAGGCGACGAUGCAUAGCCGACCUGAGAGGGUGAUCGGCCACACUGGGACUGAGACACGGCCCAGACUCCUACGGGAGGCAGCAGUAGGGAAUCUUCCGCAAUGGGCGAAAGCCUGACGGAGCAACGCCGCGUGAGUGAAGAAGGAUUUCGGUUCGUAAAGCUCUGUUGUUAGGGAAGAAUGAUUGUGUAGUAACUAUACACAGUAGAGACGGUACCUAACCAGAAAGCCACGGCUAACUACGUGCCAGCAGCCGCGGUAAUACGUAGGUGGCAAGCGUUGUCCGGAAUUAUUGGGCGUAAAGCGCGCGCAGGUGGUUUAAUAAGUCUGAUGUGAAAGCCCACGGCUCAACCGUGGAGGGUCAUUGGAAACUGUUAAACUUGAGUGCAGGAGAGAAAAGUGGAAUUCCUAGUGUAGCGGUGAAAUGCGUAGAGAUUAGGAGGAACACCAGUGGCGAAGGCGGCUUUUUGGCCUGUAACUGACACUGAGGCGCGAAAGCGUGGGGAGCAAACAGG